UAGGAACAGCCCGUGUCAUAUUAAACUGGACAGACCCUGUAGGAACAGCCCGUGUCAUUAAAUGGACAGGCCCUGUAGGAACAGCCCGUGUCAUAUUAAAUGGACAGGCCCUGUAGGAACAGCCCGUGUCAUAUUAAAUGGACAGGCCCUGUAGGAACAGCCCGUGUCAUAUUAAAUGGACAGACCCUGUAGGAACAGCCCGUGUCAUAUUAAAUGGACAGACCCUGUAGGAACAGCCCGUGUCAUAUUAAAUGGACAGGCCCUGUAGGAACAGCCCGUGUCAUAUUAAAUGGACAGACCCUGUAGGAACAGCCCGUGUCAUAUUAAAUGGACAGACCCUGUAGGAACAGCCCGUGUCAUAUUAAAUGGACAGACCCUGUAGGAACAGCCCGUGUCAUAUUAAAUGGACAGACCCUGUAGGAACAGCCCGUGUCAUAUUAAAUGGACAGACCCUGUAGGAACAGCCCGUGUCAUAUUAAAUGGACAGACCCUGUAGGAACAGCCCGUGUCAUAUUAAAUGGACAGACCCUGUAGGAACAGCCCGUGUCAUAUUAAAUGGACAGACCCUGUAGGAACAGCCCGUGUCAUAUUAAAUGGACAGACCCUGUAGGAACAGCCCAGGUCAUAUUAAAUGGACAGACCCUGUAGGAACAGCCCAUGUCAUAUUAAAUGGACAGACCCUGUAGGAACAGCCCGUGUCAUAUUAAAUGGACAGACCCUGUAGGAACAGCCCGUGUCAUAUUAAAUGGACAGGCCCUGUAGGAACAGCCCGUGUCAUAUUAAAUGGACAGACCCUGUAGGAACAGCCUGUGUCAUAUUG